rnacentral:piRNA from 1 species
UGCCUUGCAAGUGAUGAACUUGCUCAC